rnacentral:lncRNA from 1 species
GUGGGCGGGGCGGGACGCGGGCGUCCUUGGACUGGUCGGAAAAAAACGAGAGGUUAGUUACGCUUUCCCGGGUUGAGUCAGCAGAGAGCUGAGAAGGCGUGCGGCGCCGCCAACCUGGCACUUAGGAUGGAGCUCUGGGUCGAGACACGGAGCUUUAGGCAUGGAGCAGGACGAGGGGCUUGGAUCAGGUCUGCAGCGGCGCAGAAUCUAGCGCUGGGCGCUUAAGGAUGUGUUUGAACCACUUCUUGGUCCUGCUGCCUAAGGCGGGGAGGAGGUAAACUAUUCCUGUUGUCAUCUGACCUGCCGAAGCCUUCGUUGAAUUCAAAGCAUCUGACUUGCUGGCAGGCCCGGGAGGCAGUUCGUGGUCAGUGUUUGCUAAAAAGAGAGUUCGAGAUUGCCAGAUUCUAGGAGUGCCAGAAAUGUGGCUUGGGUCUUGAAACACGCGACGACAGUGGGUGACCCCCUCCAAUACAACACAGCCUCAUCUUUGAGACCCGUCAGAAGUGCACAACUUUGAUGCAAGAUGUGGGUACUCGUUUUGCACGCCAAGCCGAAGCCUUAGAGAAGGGUGGUAGCCUGGAGGGAACCACGAGUUAAUGUGUACUGAGUUAAAUUGCUUUUCUGCUUACUUCGAGCCCCUGACCUUGGAACUGGGGGAAGGGGCUACGUAGCUGGGAAUCAGGCGAUUCCUUGCAGGAGAGACAGUGGUGAUGAAUGCAUGAUAUAUCCCUUUUCCUCAUCAAACAGCCUAGAUGUAAGGGUCCAAGGCCAGGGUAGCAGCACCAGGGUGAAGGGUCCCAGUCAUCUUCUAUCUUUUUGAUUCGCUAAUUGAAGGUGUUGCUCUUGCCCAUGUGGACAUAGUUGAACCAUCACCAUAAUGUCCACCCACUUGCAAACCAGUAGGAAGGGGAAGGAAAUAAGGGGAGCCCUCACUCUUUUCUGUUAAGGACCCACCUUGGUGUUUGCACUGCUCACUCCUGUUCACAUACCAGUGGCUAGAACUGAGGUGCUUGGCUCCACCUUGCUGCCAGGGAGCCUAGGAAAUAUAUUCUGGGGGGCUGUCACCACAGAUAAAAACUGUUAGCAAUCAGAGAAGUAAAAGAGAUAAAAAGAAUCCAAAUUGGAAAGGAAGAAGUAAAAC